AUUGAACGCUGGCGGCAGGCCUAACACAUGCAAGUCGAACGAGUGGCGGACGGGUGAGUAAUGUCUGUGAAACUGCCUGAUGGAGGGGGAUAAUUACUGGAAACGGUAGCUAAUCCCGCAUACCAUCGGAUGUGCCACGAUGGGAUUAGCUUGUGGGUGGGGUAACGGCUCACCUAGGCGACGAUCCCUAGCGGGUCUGAGAGGAUGACCGGCAACACUGGAACGGAGACACGGUCCAGACUCCAACGGGAGGCAGCAGUGGGGAAUAUUGCACAAUGGGCGAAAGCCUGAUGCAGCCAUGCCGCGUGUAUGAAGAAGGCCUUCGGGUUGUAAAGUACUUUCAGCGGGGAGGCGUUACCCGCAGAAGAAGCACCGGCUAACUCCGUGCCAGCAGCCGCGGUAAUAC
rnacentral:rRNA from 1 species